rnacentral:rRNA from 1 species
CAGAGGUGCCGAGCGUUAGGCGGAAUCACUGGGCUUAAAGCGUGUGUAGGCGGGUCUGUAAGUACCUUGUGAAAUCCCACGGCUCAACCGUGGAACUGCUUGGUAUACUGCGGGUCUUGAGCCACUUAGGGGCAACCGGAACAAACGGUGGAGCGGUGAAAUGCGUAGAUAUCGUUUGGAACGCCAAUGGUGAAAACAGGUUGCUGGGAGUGUGCUGACGCUGAGACACGAAAGCCAGGGGAGCAAACGGGAUUAGAUACCCCGGUAGUCCUGGCCGUAAACGAUGUCGACUAGAUCGCGGUGGCUCUGACGCCAUCGCGGUCGAAGCAAAAGUGCUAAGUCGACCGCCUGGGAAGUACGGUCGCAAGGCUA